UUCAGAUAUGUUUGGUUGUAAAAGGAAGGGAUGGAACCGUCCAUAGAUAACGAAUAUUCGUCCAAAAAUUAGGAUGGACAGAUCCCGUGAAAUCGACCGAACCUCCUCAUCCCACUUCUUCGCGUCACCUCUGUCUCUCUCACCUCACGCGAAACACACUCCCUCCCCGUUGGAAACCCUCUCCUCUCACCUGUAGCACAGCGGCGGCGGCGGUGGUUUCCGCGGAGAAACAGAUCGGCGGCGGCGGUGCUCGUCCUCCCCUUCAGCCAGCACGUCGCCUUGUCUCCAUCCUCCUGCGGGACGCGAGGCGCUGGUUGGUAUGGAGGGCAUGGGGUGAGGCGGAGCCAGGAGAACGAGGGCAAGGUAGGGGACGGGCCGAGCUAGAAGAAGGAGCACAAGCACGUACGACCUGCAGCACAGCAUCCACUCCUCCUUGUUGUAUUCAAUCUGAAGAUGAAAAAGAGGCAGAAGAUGUUAGUUUGGGCCGCUGCGGCAUAUAUGGCAAUAUCUAUGAUGGUCUUGAUCCUUAAUUCUAGAAAAAGGAAGAGGAAAGAACGUCUUAGCAUAUCAUAUGGGCCAAUAGAGGAGAGGGAUAGGAUGAGAAUUGAGUAUCUUAACAAUAAGAUUUGGAAGAAUGAUACAAAUUGUGUGAACAUGCUUAGACUUGGAAGAGCACCUUUCUUCAGAUUCUGCAACCUAUUUAGGACCCGUGGCUUGCUUGUUGACACUAUACACAUGUGUGUGGAGCAGCAAGUAGCAAUGUUCUUGAACACUGUUGGACAUAACCUUAGAAAUAGGCUGGUUGGCACCAAUUAUGAUAGGUCCGGUGAAACCGUUAGUAGAUAUUUUCAUACUGUCCUUCACGCCAUUGGUGAGCUACGAGAUGAAUUGAUUAGGCGACCUUCAUUGGAGACCCAAUCAAAAAUAGAAGGAAACCCACGGUGGGAUCCAUAUUUCAAGGAUUGUGUUGGAGCUAUUGAUGGUACACAUGUGCGGGCGUCCGUUACUAAGGAUAUGGAGGCAGCUUUUCGUGGUAGAAAGUCCUUCCCUUCUCAAAAUGUGCUCGUAGCCGUAGAUUUUGAUCUUCGGUUCACGUAUGUUUUGGCUGGUUGGGAGGGAACAGCACAUGAUGCGCUCGUCUUGAGAGAUGCGUUAGAAAGGCCAAAUGGUUUACGUGUCCCACAAGGUAAAUAUUGCACUUGCACUAGCACUGGACAUCAAUUCCAUGUAUUCUUAUAUAUCAAUGUCACCCACUCGUGCCUCAUAUGAUGGGAAAAUUCUACCUAGUUGAUGGUGGAUAUGGAGCCAAAAGAGGGUUUUUGCCUCCUUUUCGUGGUGUGAGGUACCAUUUGAAUGAGUGGGGAAACAAUCCAGUGCAAAAUGAAAAGGAGUUGUUCAAUCUUAGGCACUCCUCUCUUCGUGUUGGAGUAGAGCGUGGAAUUGGGUCACUCAAGCGGAGGUUCAAAGUUCUUGAUGAUGCCACUCCAUUCUUCCCCUUUGCAACCCAAGUAGAUAUCGUUGUGGCAUGUUGCAUUAUUCAUAAUUGGGUUAUAGAAGAUGGGAUU